UGGGGAAUCUUGCGCAAUGGGCGAAAGCCUGACGCAGCGACGCCGCGUGAGCGAUGAAGGCCUUCGGGUUGUAAAGCUCUGUGGGGAGAGAAGAAUAAGUUCCGGCUAAUAUCCGGAGCGAUGACGGUAUCUCCUUAGCAAGCACCGGCUAACUCUGUGCCAGCAGCCGCGGUAAGACAGAGGGUGCAAACGUUGUUCGGAAUUACUGGGCGUAAAGCGCGUGUAGGCGGCAAGGCAAGUCGGAUGUGAAAGCCCACGGCUCAACCGUGGAAGUGCACCCGAAACUGCCUAGCUAGAGUCUCGGAGAGGAAGGUGGAAUGCUUGGUGUAGAGGUGAAAUUCGUAGAUAUCAAGCGGAACACCGGUGGCGAAGGCGGCCUUCUGGACGAUGACUGACGCUGAGACGCGAAAGCGUGGGGAGCAAACAGGAUUAGAUACCCCCGUAGUCC
rnacentral:rRNA from 1 species